UGGGGAAUUUUGGACAAUGGGGGCAACCCUGAUCCAGCAAUGCCGCGUGUGUGAAGAAGGCCUUCGGGUUGUAAAGCACUUUUGUUCGGAAAGAAAUCGCUUCGGCUAAUACCCGGAGUGGAUGACGGUACCGGAAGAAUCAGCACCGGCUAACUACGUGCCAGCAGCCGCGGUAAUACGUAGGGUGCAAGCGUUAAUCGGAAUUACUGGGCGUAAAGCGUGCGCAGGCGGUUGUGCAAGACAGAUGUGAAAUCCCCGGGCUUAACCUGGGAAUGGCAUUUGUGACUGCAUGGCUAGAGUGUGUCAGAGGGGGGUAGAAUUCCACGUGUAGCAGUGAAAUGCGUAGAGAUGUGGAGGAAUACCGAUGGCGAAGGCAGCCCCCUGGGAUAACACUGACGCUCAUGCACGAAAGCGUGGGGAGCAAAC
rnacentral:rRNA from 1 species